GCAUAUGGAAGUUCCCAGGCUAGGGCUUGAAUCAGAGCUGUAGCCUCAGACCUAUGCCACAGCCACAGCAACAUCAGGUCUGAGCCGUGUCUGCAACCCACACCACCACAGCACAUGGCAGCGCCAGAUCCUUAACCCGCUGAGUGAGGCCGGGGACCAAACUCUCGUCUUCAUGGAUGCUAGUCAGAUUCAUUUCUGCUGAGCCACAACGGGAACUCCAGGAAUACUCUUUUCAAAAGUUCUAGCAGGGCGAAGUAAAAGCAAAUAGUUGGUUUUGUCCCCAAGGCUGACACCCACACAUAAAUAUGCACAGACUAUGUAGUUGGAUGAUUGUUUCCAUAGUAACAGGAUGCAGGCAACAUUCUGGUUGGGAUGCUAUCUACCUUGGUACUCUGCCAUAAAGUUUGUCCACCACACCGAUUCAAAAGAUCAACCUGAGAAAUAUUUUCGGUCUCAGCUGCUUAGAUUGACUCUCUCCUAGUUUAGAGGACCACAUGGUAAGCCUAUUUUAAGACACGGUUUGGCCUGAUAAUGAGUGGGACCAAAUGUUCCCACCAAGAGUACCAGGAGUGUGCUGGGCCACCUCACAUGCAUUCCUCAGAUAGCUUCGUUUCUACCCUGCUCCUUCACAGGUAAAAUACCUCAUCUUCCGAGACCAAGCCAUGACCACAUAGUUAAGUUUAGCAUGAAUGUGUGAAUGCAAAGUGCUUCUAUUAUUAAGCUGUCACAAGAGAGAAAUAUUUCUCCGGUGACAUCUAGGAGCUCCCGGCAUCCAGGGACUCCUUUCUCCAAAUCCUUUCCAAAUAGGGAGCUGGGAGCACUCUAAAACUGAGCAAAGGGGACCCCAAAGAAUCUGUGGAUUUGAAACCAUUCAACACAUACUCGAAAUAUCUUUUGCCUUUGGUAUUCAGAAAGCACUGUGAACUCUGAAGUAUGAAGAUCUCAUGACCACAGAAAGUGAAAGUAUGCCAACUGCACUGAAAUCCCUCAGGCUCCCAGGCUGAGCAUGCUUUUGGAAACUGCAAUCAUACCUUCUAUCCACUCAUGUCUUCUCAGGGCACUUGAUCAUUUUCAGCUUUUAAAAGAACCAUGAUGCCAUCUCAGAAAUGCUCACUCACUGGGGAACACAGGGUAUGUUUCUUUUCUAGGAUGACAUAUUUAAACGUUUCAAGAGUCACGAAUGGAACCCACCUAGUAUCCAUGAGGAUGCAAGUUAGAUCUCUGGUCUUGCUCAGGGGCUUAAGGAUCCGGUGUUGCCAUGAGCUGUGGGGUGGGUUGCAGGUGUGGCUUGGAUCCCGAGUUGCUGAGGCUGUGGCGUAGACCGGCAGCUGUAGUUCCGAUUCAACCCCAGCCUGAAAACUUCCAUAUGCUGUGGAUGCAGCCCCAAAAAAUACAAAGCAAAAACAAAAACUAUUAGUUAAGCAUCUACUGUGCCCCAGACAUCAUGCUAGCUGCUAGGCUGACGGCAGGGAACGGGACCAUGUCCCUUCGCAGGCAGAGUUGAUAAUCAAAUGGUGGAGACAGAUCACAGCAAAAAUCGCCCAGCUGUACUCACAUCAGGUAGCGCUAAGUUCCUCAAAGAAAGAUGAAGGGAGGUUAAGGGUUCAGAUGAAGGGAGCAGGGUCAGGAGCAACUUCUAAGAGGAGCUGACAUCUGAGCAUCAAUGUGCGUGGAGGGCAGAGGUGGCCAAUCAAAAUUCGAGGAAAAGCUCUCCAUGCACGGGAAACAUAGGGGGUGGCUGGGAGUGGAGGGCAGGGAUCUAAAGGCAGCGGGCCAUUGACCUCGCAGAGGUAGACGGGGUCCUAGUGUCAAAAUCUGAGGGGAAUGCAUUACAUCUUAGGUUUUAAGUUCCACAGGAAACGAAUGGACGGUUAAGUGUAUUCUGCUAUCUCCUAUUCCAUCCCAUUUCACAUUUUAUUUUUUUAUUUUUAAUUUUAUUUUUAUUAAAGUAUAGUUGAUUUACAGUAUUGUGCCAAUUUCUGCUGUACAGCAAAAUGAUCAGUCACACAUACACACACACACACACACACACAUACAGUCAUAUGUGUAUAUAAACAUAUACAGCCUUUUUCUCAUACUAUCUUCUAUCACGUUCUAUCCCAAGAGACUGGAUAUAGUUCCUUCUGCUGUACAGUAGGACCUCUUUGCUUACCAUUCUAAAUGGAAUAGUUUGUCUACUUCACAUUUUUAAGAAAACACUAAUCCCAUAGCACUGAAUUGAUUUCACAAGACGCAGUUAUACACACACAGUCUGAAAGCCACACUCCAGUCAAUAACCUUUGCUUCAUUAUCCUUAUCAAAAUAAAGACAUUAAAAAAGAAAGUUUCCAUCACAAGAAAAUAAAACAUUUAGCUCGGUGUAAUGGUGGCUAUUACUAGGUUUAUUGUGGUGAUGAAUAUAGGUUUAUUGUGAUUCACCAUACAUACAUACAUCGAAUCAUUGCUGUAAAUGUGAAACUUUAAUAAUAUAAUGUAUUACUAUAAUGCCAUGUCAUAUAUAUCACAGUUUUAAAUGCCACCCCCAAAAAAAGAAAAAAAAAAGAAAGAGAGAUCUAACAAGUUCAACUGUACUAUCUACACAGCCAGAAGAAUUAACUGUAAAAUGGAAUCAAAUAACAGCCCCUCUGUAUUUUACCUUCUGUGUGGGUUAUAACUAAGGAAGCUAACGUACCUAUGCACAGCAACGCAGGACUGCCUGCUUUCCCGGGAAGCCAUGAACUCCUGGACCACGAGGCCCGCCCCUGAAGGCAGCUGACUGCAGAAUAGCCAC
rnacentral:lncRNA from 1 species